UCCGUCAGGUCCGCCGUCGUCGCCGUCCUCCGCGCUGCCUGGACGCUCGACGGGUUUCUGCUUCUCCACAGAAGGUGCGGAGGCAUCAUAGAUCCAGAGAGAGGCCUAGAGUAGUUUUCUUGGUUUUCGGAUUGUGCAUCAGAGAGUGGCGGCUGCUGCUUGCUGGUUUGUUGGUUCUUGAUUUGCUUCUGUGGUGGAGAGAAGGGUUAAGGAGACGAGGGAGGGUAUUAAGGGAGAGGGCAAUGGAGGUCGGGGAGCAGGCGAUGAUGGAGUCCCAUGGGGUGGAACUCGAGGACGACAGCAUCAAUUUCUGGGCCUCCCUCGGUGUGAGCACCCAUGUCCAUGGCGUCGACCAGAUGGCGCUCCACAAUGUCCACAUUCUCGACCACCAAGGACAGUCGCCGGCGGCGGCGGCGGUGGUCUCACACCCGCAAUCUGUCUGCAAGGAGCUGUUCCCUGGCGAAGCCGACCCCUGCCUGGAGCCCCGGGUGGGGAUGGAAUUCGAGUCGGGUGAGGCUGCCAAGACCUUCUACAUUGCUUACGCCGGCCGUGUUGGGUUCUCUGUCCGCAUUGCUAGGUCCCGCAAGUCCAAGGGCAGCGAGUCCAUCAUCAUGCUAAGGUUUGUUUGCUCAAAGGAAGGGUUCAGCAAGGAGAAGCGUGUUGUUGAGGGGAAGAAGACAAGGAAAAGGCCAGCCUCCAUCAGGGAGGGCUGCAACGCCAUGCUUGAGGUGCUCCGCAGAGGUGACAACAAGUGGGUUGCUACCAAGCUUGUCAAGGAGCAUAACCAUGAGGUUGGGAUGCCCAGCACAGUGCACUAUAUAGCCACUGAGAGCGAUACUUUGGUUGACCCAUACAUUGACAUGGAGUUCGAAUCCCUUGAGUCUGCCAAGACAUUCUACUACUCGUAUGCUAUCCGUGUGGGAUUUGAAGUUCGUGUUCGCCAGUCUCGAAAGUCGCAAGAUGAGUCACUCAAAAUGCUGAAGCUUGUGUGUUCAAGGCACCGCUACCAUUCAGGACGGGAAAUUGGGGGAGACGAUAACAAGAGAGUGCAAUCCUCGGAUCCCUGCAGAGACGGUUGUGAUGCACAGUUUGAGAUAAUUCGGAAGGAUAAAGCUGUCUGGAUUGUCUCCAAACUCAUCCUAGAGCAUACUCAUGAGCUGAGCCCUGCACCGGCGAGCAGAGUUUGCUGUGUCCGCUCACAAGGCGAGACACUUGUCAUUGCAAAGAACUUUGCUGACACACGAAAUCUUCUAUUAAAUGGCCAAUAUUCUCAGCAUCAUAGAGAGAUCCGCUAUAAUGAUUUGGGGCCAGAGGAUGCUCAAAGCUUACUUGAAUAUCUUAAAAAGGCCCAGGCCGAGGACCCUGCAUUUUUCUAUGCUGUGCAGCUUGACAAGCACGAGCACAUGGUCAAUAUCUUCUGGGCUGAUGCGAGCGUUAGGAUGGCUUAUUACCACUUUGGUGAUGCUGUUAGGUUUGAGACAGCAUCCAGGAGUAACAAAGAGCAUAUACCUAUUGUCAUAUUUUCAGGUGUCAAUCAUCAUGUCCAGCCUGUUAUUUUUGGCUGUGCACUACUUGUUGAUGAAUCUGAAGAGUCAUUUGUAUGGUUAUUUGAAAAAUGGCUUGAAGCAAUGCAUGGGAGGCCUCCUGUUUCUUUGGUAACAGAACUGAACCAAGAGAUGGCAGCUGCAGCUGUCAAGGUAUUGCCUGACACCUGUCAUAUUUUCUGUGAAAAUCAUAUAUUAGGCACUGUGAAGGAGGAGUUGCAUAGUAUUUAUCCAGGACUAGACCAUUUCAUUACUGAUCUGAGAAACUGCAUUGAUGGAUGCAGAAUAGAAGAAUCAUUUGAAUCAUGCUGGGAAUCAGUUCUCAUUAAACAUGGCUUUAGAAAUAACGAACAUUUACAGUCUCUUUAUGAUAUUCGUAAACAAUGGGCCCCUGCGUACACAAAGAAAUCAUUUCAUGCCAGAAACCUGCUUCCACAAAGCUGUGAAAAUCUUGAAAAGAUUAGAGAUAUGUACUUCUCGUCCAGUACACAAUUACAGGUGGCUGUGCAGCAACUUGGACAAGCUAUUUGUAAUUACCAUGCAAAAGAAGCUCAGGCAGAUUAUCUGACAAUGUUUCAAAUACCAGCACUAAGGACUGCUUCACCAGUGGAGAAACAAGCAAGUGUAAUAUUUUCCAGGAAAGUGUUUGAUAUAUUUCAGGAACAGUUUGCAGAGUCCUUUGGGUACCAUGCAGAGAGGAUCGAGGAUAGGAUGCUACACAAGUACCGUGUGACAGUAGAUGAUGGUGACGAGGAGGCACAUAUUGUCUCUUUCAAUCCAGAUCAGAGUGCAGUGUGUUGUAGUUGUUGCUUGUUCGAGAGCUGUGGAAUCUUGUGCAGGCAUGCUCUUCGAGUUUUCAUCAUCGAAGGAGUGCGUUUCCUUCCAAAGGCCUAUGUCUUGAAACGCUGGUCAAAGCAUGCAAAAAGUACUGUCACCUUGGAUAACUACAUUGAUCUAAGGGGAUACCGUGAGGAUCCUUCAACUUCAAGGUACAAUGAUCUUUGCUAUGAUGCAAUCAAAUGUGCAAAAGAGGGCUCAACAUCUUCCGAGCGCUAUAAAAUAGCUAAAGAGGCACUGCACAAGGCUCUUGAUGAGGUAAUGCCUGUAAGGAACAUUAGACCGCAAAAUCCGCAAAACAGUACAACAUCAUUAAAAAGUCCAGUGAAGAAGUCUGGGACGGAUAAAGGUACCUCUGGCAAGAGCUUAAACAGGCCAGCAUCCAAACAUUCCCUCACGGAGAGCAAUGGUGGUAGAUGACCAGAUAUAAUGAAUUUUAACAUAGCAUGGUAUUACCUAUUCUGACCUUGUAUAGUUGCAGUAUCAUUCAAUCUAGUACUUAUAUCUUAGACUGUAGCUGGCAUCAGCUUUUUUCUGUCAGUGCAUCUAGUAAUGGCAAGGGUGCUACUGAAUUAUUUGAGGCAUUAAUGUUAAAAAAGAAUGUAGGAACAUAUGCCCUGUUUGGGAAUGUUUGUAAAUGGUACUGUGAAAAAGACGAUCUUGUUACAUGGGAGUACAGCCAUAAUUUUCUAUGUACCAUCGCGUGACCAAUACAGCUUACCCUUAUGCUGGUUGUGAUUUAGAUUUUUUGUACUAACACUGUUAAAUAGUGGUUGCUGUGGCCUUAGGUGUUGGCACAUUUGGAAGUGACAGUUGUGCUGCAAAAACUAGUAGUCUAAAUGAGUACUUAUGCAGUUAUUUUAGAUCAGUACUUAUGCAGUUAAUCACAUGUACUGCUUAGGAUAGACAUUUGCAUGGUUGAGUUUUCUGCUUUUCUUUGAUCAUUUAUAUGAAAUGCAGUGUGUUCUCAUGGUCAUUUAUGCUUGCAUAUAUAGGUAGUUGUAUCUUUUACAUUGUUAAACCACUUACAUAGCUUAUCACUAUUCGAUGCAUUCUGCAUUUUUUCACUUCAUAUUCUCGUCUUUGUUAUAUUUUUAUAGACACGGGAAUUAACACUCAUGUGGAUAAGUUGAUUUGUGCCCACAGGGGCCUACUUGAACUUCACAGGCAAUUUCAAAACCUAUUUGAAAUACUUUGAGGUGGGUGAAGGUUAUAUAACACAUACAUAUGAGCCGCCACACUAAGCGUCCAAAUGGGCACUCAAUGAAGAGUUGCUGGUCAUUUCCUCAUUACAAAAACAACAUUGUCAUUUUCCCAUCUAAUUUUGUUUUGCCAGGUUAUCCUUUGAUACAAGGACCCCUGGACAAGGGCAGUGAACAUAAGACUGCACCGUGAACUGGCAGGAUGCAUGUGGAGUCCAUUGGAACGUAUCUGGCUCCUGUGCCAAGGCAAACACCCCAAGCUGUGCCAUAAUGUCGUGCUAAGCAAGGAGUUUAGCACCGAUGAGUGCUCUUGAUUUCUGCAGCAGUACGGAAAAGAGACUGCCAAAGGCCUGAAAAAAGUCAGUGCCAUACAAGGAAUACGGUACAGUUUUGCUUGCUUAUACUAGGAUAUAGCCAUGUGCUGGUUACCCACCAAGGCUGUCCAACAAAUGCGGUUGCGGUUACGCAAUUUUUCAGAUUCUGAGUUCGCCAUUUCUCUAGUACUACGAAUCAAUAAAGAUGAACAUAAUGCACUGACUGCUAUGCCCAUUUUUUGAUGAUAAGUUGGUAGCGAUGUGAAAUACAACACCAGCUCUUCUAUCAUCUCUGGAAUGUAUUGCUUUUUUUCUUUUUCGAGAAUACACCCUGGAAAGGUGCUUCAAUCUCUGGAAUGUAUUGCAGCAGGGGGAAGUUGUUCAAUUCUGCUGUUCAGCAAGCUUGUCGAAACUGUAAGUUAGUGCACAUAUGCUUCUUGAGCUUUAUAUGUUUCAGAAGAAGCAUUACGCUUCUGUCAACCAUUUUCUCAACCUAACAGUUUACCAGAGUGCUGAUGGCGAAAUGAAUAGUGGCACGGAGUUGUUGAAGAGAAGCCUGUACUCUCCAUUAUGGGAGCAAGUGUAAAGAAAAAGGUGCCACCUUCCCAUGAUAUGUCCUCAUCCACAGUCCAUAGUUCAUAGCAAAUCUGAUCUCGCUGCAGGAAGUUGCAGGUUGCUGUUGGAUCAGUUGAAGUUUUGCUGGAACAGCACGCUACAUGCGUGUAAUGCCAAAGCUGUGUACAGUGAAAGGCUUGAGCACAGAGAGAAGGAUCAUCGUGCCAAGAUGGAUCGGUCAAUACAGAAAGCAACGUAUGCAUGGUGCAAGAACUAGCUCGAGGAGGAUCCUUCAGUACAUUGACAGUUUGCACACUGGCCACUGUGACAUCUUACCUGAGAACAGAAAAUGCGAGGAUGAACACCGACACCUCAAUCUCUGGCGUGUUUACAAAAGAAGCAGCGUGUCAUGUGCAGGCUCUUGCCUGAUCAUCAUCUUCCAUGUGUGCAAAGUGGAGGAGAUGAAAGCAGCUUUGAUGGUGGGUAUUCUUUCAGUUGCAGGUUGGAUAGUUAGGUGUUGUUGUAGCUGUCAGGAUCUGAAUGGAAGCAUUGCAAAACUUCUUAAACUUCCAGGCCCAGGGGUGGACGUGUCCCAACAGUGGGUGCUUGAUUCUUCCUUGUAGAUCCUGUCUCCAUCUGCGUUGUUCAUCCCCACCAGAACCCCGCUGCGCUGCACCAGCCCACAGUAUCAGUAUCGUCAUCGUCGCUGCGGCGAGAUAGGAUAUGUGUGCCGUGUGUUGUCGCUGGCAUGGAGCUUGUGGCCGGACCGGAUAGAGCACCAUGCGGGCCUGCCAUUGGCCACCACGGGGCAUGCCUGCCUUUACCUUCUCCAGUUCUCCUUGGUUUUUUGCUUUGCUGAGUUCAUGUGCAGAAUUGUGGAGUAUAUAUUUGCACGGUUGCUGUAGCUCCAGUGCUCCAAUUCAACCCUUCCUUCUAAGAUAUGGUUAAAUUAUGUAUUCAUCAAUUAUAUUGUAUUUUUUGGCGCUUGUAUUC